CAUGAACCUGCUCCGCACCACGGCUCCGCAAUGCCUACAGCUGCUCCACAUCGUUGGUGUGGCGUCCCGCCCCCGUCUACUCCGCCCGACCGCAUAAUCCCCAUCUCCGACCCGAGCCCCAGCCUGAUCCUGCUCCAUCUCCAUCCCUCCUGCCGCACCGGUGUGCCGUUUUGGGACGGCAAAGAAGCUGCACGCACAUCCCCGAUGUGGUCCCCUGGUAUGUCCUCACACGAAGUAGGAUUUGAUUCAUCUCAUGUUUGAUUCCUUUUUAAUCACUGGAUUUGAUUUGGGUUAUUGGACGCAAUGCUUGCUUUGAUGGAUUUUGCUGAGUGUAUCUAUAUUAUGACCGAUGUGUAAUGGUUCACUAUUUCAUCUACGAAUUUCGACAUGAUUUCAAAGUUUCAUGCUUCUAUCCAUGUUCAGAUCUGUCCCCAACUACUAUCUUUGUGCUUCUUAGUUCUGUAUCAUCUAAAUUGUUAUAUAGAUCAACCGCAAAAAUAAAUAAAUUAUAUAGAUGCUUCUGGAUCCUAUAUAUUUUGCUUUCAAAUGCCAAAAAAACAUGGAUUAUGUGUACAUAGCUAGUCUCGUUUUUUCAGAGUGUACGACAGCAUACAAAAAAAGUAUGUUGAUGCGAUAUGGUGCUUUCGGAAUUUACAUACUUCAUAUAUAUCGUAAUCGUGCUUCAUUGUCGUGUCAAGUUUGCUUCAUAGUUCAUAGGCAUCAUAGUUGUGCUUCCUCACUGUGUACAAUUUGCCUAUUUUUCAUACUUGAGCUUCUAUGCUGUGGUAGUUUGCUUCGUAUGUUUUGUACUUCUACAUCUACGUUGUGUUCAGUUUGCUCCAUUUUUGUGCUUCAUAUUGUUUUGUAGGUUCGUGUUUGUAUUCAAAUCAAUCAGCUCGUGCACCACACAUUGUUGCAACCCCAAUGGUAAAUGAAGAACAUGCUCUGCGACAGUGAGGCAGACAUGGCGCUGGUUGAUGCUGGGCAUGGUGUGCGUCAUGAGAUUGAGCAUCUUAGUGCCUUGUGUUCUUAUCAUCAGCUUGGAAGCAAACUAGCAAGGACCACAUUCGGUGGCCACAGGUUAAUAACGUAGGCCACUCAAUGGUGCUACCCUCGCUGCUCCUUGCAUGAUCUCUCGUGUAGUUCAUCGGCGCUGACAUCCGUAGAUUUGUGGAAGAAAAGUAGGACAUCAAAGCAUGGUUUGUAGCGUUGGAAGCAUUACUUGCUUAUGAUGGAAGCAGACUGAGCAGAUUUGUAUUACAUGGAAACACGUCCCUAUUGUUCUUGAAGCAUGUGCGUACAGGAUAAUGGUUCUUGUUUUAAUAGAAAGGUCUUAUUUGCUUAGAAGCAAUUCUCUAGUCUGUCCAAACAAGUAUUUGAUUAUUUUGAUGUGAAAAUACAAUUCCAAUUUUAUAAUUGCAUUGGCAACA
rnacentral:lncRNA from 1 species